AUGGAAUUUCAAGGAAAUUUGUGCUCAAUUUACGAAAUUUUUAUUAAAAAACACAAAAAGUCAAAGUCAAAGUGUGAAUGAAAAUGAAGACGUUCUUGAUUCUUGUGCUUCUUAUACUAAGUUUAACUGGCUUAUUAUUUGAGAAUGCAGACGAUAUACAGGAUGAUACAGCGAAGAGGGUAGCUGAAAUGAUCGAAUGGAAAGGUUCUGAACCUGGAAUCAGAUUAUUAUUGCUUCGA